rnacentral:rRNA from 1 species
CCUACGGGAGGCAGCAGUGGGGAAUAUUGCACAAUGGGGGGAACCCUGAUGCAGCGACGCCGCGUGGGUGAAGGAGUAUUUCGGUAUGUAAAGCCCUAUCAGCAGGGAAGAACAAUGACGGUACCUGACUAAGAAGCGCCGGCUAAAUACGUGCCAGCAGCCGCGGUAAUACGUAUGGUGCAAGCGUUAUCCGGAUUUACUGGGUGUAAAGGGCGCGCAGGCGGCGCGUUAAGCCUGGUGUGAAAGUCCGCGGCCCAACCGCGGGACUGCAUUGGGAACUGGCGCGCUGGAGUGCCGGAGGGGUAGGCGGAAUUCCUAGUGUAGCGGUGAAAUGCGUAGAUAUUAGGAGGAACACCAGUGGCGAAGGCGGCCUACUGGACGGUGACUGACGCUGAGGCUCGAAAGCGUGGGGAGCAAACAGGAUUAGAUACCCGAGUAGUC